GUGAGUCAUCGAAUCUUUGAACGCACAUUGCGCCCCCUGGUAUUCCGGGGGGCGUGCCUGUCCGAGCGUCAUUUCAACCCUCAAGCCCCGCUUGGUGUUGGGCGCAGGCCCCGAGAGGGGCCCGCCCGCAACCCGUCGGCGGCUGGCACCGACCCCGAGCGUAGCAGAAACACCCGCUCGAGGGGACGGGUGUCCGCCCGCCGGUCGACUCUCCGAUUCAGAUUUUGACCUCGGAUCAGGUAGGGAUACCCGCUGAACUUAAGCAUAUCAAUAAGCGGAGGA
rnacentral:misc_RNA from 1 species